GACGAACGCUGGCGGCGCGCCUAACACAUGCAAGUCGAACGGAGCGAAGAGGAGCUUGCUUUUCUUUGCUUAGUGGCGAACGGGUGAGUAACGCGUGAGUAACCUGCCCACCACUUGGGGAUAACCUUGCGAAAGUAAGACUAAUACCCAAUGACGUCUCUAGAAGACAUCUGAAAGAGAUUAAAGAUUUAUCGGUGAUGGAUGGGGAUGCGUCUGAUUAGCUUGUUGGCGGGGUAACGGCCCACCAAGGCGACGAUCAGUAGGGGUUCUGAGAGGAAGGUCCCCCACAUUGGAACUGAGACACGGUCCAAACUCCUACGGGAGGCAGCAGUGAGGAAUAUUGGUCAAUGGGGCGAGAGCCUGAACCAGCCAAGUAGCGUGCAGGACGACGGCCCUAUGGGUUGUAAACUGCUUUUAUAAGGGAAUAAAGUGAGUCUCGUGAGACUUUUUGCAUGUACCUUAUGAAUAAGGACCGGCUAAUUCCGUG
rnacentral:rRNA from 1 species